GCCAGGUGUGGUGGUGCACACCUGUAGUCCCAGCUACUCAGGAGGCUGAGGCAGGAGGACCUCUUGAGCCCAGGAGUUCGAGGCUGCAGUGAGCUAUGAUCACACCACUGCACUCCAGCCUGGGUGACAGAGUGAGACUCUAUCUCUA
rnacentral:sRNA from 1 species